rnacentral:rRNA from 1 species
UACGGGGGGGGGUAAGCGUUGUUCGGAAUUACUGGGCGUAAAGGGCUCGUAGGUGGCCAACUAAGUCAGACGUGAAAUCCCUCAGCUUAACUGGGGAACUGCGUCUGAUACUGGAUGGCUUGAGUUUGGGAGAGGGAUGCGGAAUUCCAGGUGUAGCGGUGAAAUUCGUAGAUAUUCGCAAGAACACCAGUGGCGAAGGCGGCUCACUGGCCCGAUACUGACGCUGAGGCACGAAAGCGUGGGGAGCAAACAGG